UGAAUGAUUUGUUUGGACUUACUGCUCCAAGAGCUGUUAGACUUGUUGGUGUACCAAAUUACAGGUUACAUUGUCCAUUUUGAAGUGAAGAAGGAAGAGAAUUUAUGGAACUAAGAAUGGCGACCAAAUAUUUGUGCUUUACGAUCGAGGAGACAUUAAAGGAGAGCUAAUAGGCUUCUACUUACAGAGAAGCUAUAUCAUUAAAGGAGAUUAUUGAUGUGUUCAGAAUACUGAUUGGAGAUUAUUUUAACGUUAAUAUUUUAGUCUUUUCGUUCAAAAUACCUUCUGUUGACUGUCAAUGGAAGAAAAAUUAAUCUCUAAAUUAUAGCUAAACUACUAUGAGGUUCUUCACAUAUUAUUUCUAUUAAUAAUUGGUCUCAAUAAUACUGAUCUUACUGGUAGAAUUCGUCAGAGAAUGUAGUUCACUUGUCCCUUUUUUUAUCCCCUUCCUGAAAGCUCUGCUCUCCACUUACUGAGGUUGUUCCCUAACGUGUCUUACCAUUUGAUGAGGCACUACCGCACUAGUAAUGGAUGAUGUAAUAUACAGUAUAUAUUAAUGCA
rnacentral:lncRNA from 1 species